UCCUUCCACCCAUGAAAGUAGUCCUCUGUCUUUUACAACAGGUAUCUUUUUAAACAUAUCUAAAAGUUUCUUUUAAGUGUAAGUCCCGGUUCCGGUCCAUUUUGCCCGGAGCAGCAGAGCUGCAGCUGUCUGUCGGUGUGACCCAUCACAGCCUCUAACUGUUGGAAAACACCAGGCSAUGAAUCUGUUAUUCCCUGCAGAUUUAAUCUCAUCAGCCUGAUGCCACUUCGGACCCGCCAGCGUCUUCCUGCACCAGAAAUGUCCCAGUUUAAUCAGGUUGUGUGUGCUGGGUAGAACAGCUCCACCCUCAAGCCUCCAGCUCAAACUCUGGUCUGAACGUUUCAUGUACCUCUGAUAAACAGCAGAACUAACAAUUAUCCAACCAAAUACUUAUAAAUCAGUUUUAUUUWAAAACCACGGAGAGUAUAAAUAACUAAAAGUGUUSAGAUKAAUGAGCARCAAGCAUGACCAGGAGCGUGUUGGAGACUGGAUGGGACUUUGUCAGAACAUYAAUAGUCYUGGCUGAUGUGACGGUCGGCCUGGCUGCAGCGACACCAUGAAGAUAAUCUUCACUGCUUGGUGAUGUGAUUACAGAGCAGCGGCUGCAGCUCGGCCAGCGCAGCUGAUUGUUUUAUCUGCCAUCGUCUUCCUCACCGGUGCUGCAGGGCGUCUCCAUGGAGAUAAACAGUCCAAUCAGGCUGCAGGAAGAGCUUCCUGGGUCGUUGAUGUGCGGCGUGUCGGCCAUUAGCCCCAGGCUGCGUCCAGACAACGGGACACGGCUCACCCUGAAAACACCAGCUCCUGUUUUAACAGCUGCUUCUGGCAGCGCAGACUCUGCGUGGAGAAGAAGUGAACGUUUACAGAGACGUGGCUUUACAUGCAGGGAGGACUGAAGCUCUAAUGCACCUCUGGUGGUCAGUCAGAGUCGCCCAAUCGAUCGUCAACACGUGAAAGAUUUUUAACCUUCAUAUCUAACCCCUGAGCCGGGUUGUCUUCAUUCUUCUUUUGAUUAGUCCAGGAAAGUCCGACCCGGUCUGAGGAGGAGAAAGACAAAUGGACGUGUUUGCGUCAACAGUCGAAGCUAAAAGUUUGCAUUUCUGGCUCAGAGUGUUUAUAGUAGAAAAGUGUGUGGGAGUUGGAUGAAUUGGGAGGAAUUUUCUGUCCUCAGGCCUUUUACAGGCGUUUGGUUAUGACUCAAACUCUGCCUUCGUAAAAUAAAUGGAACUGAGCAGAAAAAAAGAUUAAAAGUUGAAGGAAAAAUAUCUGAAGUAGAGCAUGUUAUGAAGCACCACUUGUGGAAUGACCUUUGACCUCUAGCGAGGUGAAGGAAACGUGGAGCCUGCAGUUUGUUUGUGUCGCAUCUGGACUCAGUUAGAGGAGAAAACAUUUUGGUUGUUGUGGUAAAAGGUUUCAACUCUCAGCCUGAAGCGACUUGUAGUUCCUGUUAGAUACUUAGUAAUUAACAUUACGCAACAUUCACAUGUAAAUAUAAACAUAAUGUGAAGCAUUACAUUUUUAUAAAAAGACAUUUGGAUGAAACUAAAGGAAAUAUAAGUGAUAAAGCAUCAAGCUGCAGAGCUCAGGACUCGUUUCCUCCUGUCAGAUGUAAUCCCAGACUGUAAUCCCAGACUGAUCCGUUCAACUUUAUCUAUAAAUCCCAUUAAAAACAGCUGCUGUACCCAAGUGCUGCUCAUAGAAAUAGAAAUAUUAAGAAUAAACAGGGGAGAAAAAUAAAACAUUAAGAAAAGAAACAACUGAACCAGCAGGAAACGUUUGAUGGUCUGGAUCAGGUCCAGCUGCUCUGGUUCCUUUCUGACCUGAAUGAGGCGAUUAGAGGAUUCAGCAGCUCUGGACGCCACAGCAGGAAGAGGCGCAACACGCAGCAGGAGAAACACAAAACGAUUAUUAUUUAUAUUCACAUGAACAUAAGAUGAGCUGCUGUAAAUAAACAGAGCCGUGGGUCCCUCUGCUGGCCAAAGCUCAUAACGCACCCUGCAAGCACAAAACCCAUAAAACAUGAAGGAAAUGUCUGGAAAGUUA